CAGCAGCAGGGCGCCGCCGGCUACACGUGGCCUUCAUCCCGCCGUACUCUGCCGAUGUCGCUGGUCUGAGUUUCAGUGUCCACCGUUUGAUCUGUUCCACUAA